AUGAACGCUUGGCGGGCGUGCUUUAACACAUGCAAGUCGAACGAUGAAAGCCAGCUUGCUGGUGGAUAUUAGUGGCGAAACGUGGUGAGUAAACACGUGAGUAACCUGCCCCUUGACUUCUGGGAUAAGCCUGGGAAAACUGGGGUCUAAUACCGGAUAUGACCUUCCAUCGCAUGGUGGUUGGUGGAAAGCUUUUGUGGUUUUGGAUGGACUUCGCGGCCUAUCCAGCUUGUUGGUGGGGGUAAUGGCCUACCAAGCGACGACGGGUAGCCGGGCACCUGAGAGGGUGGACCGGGACACACUGGGACUGAGACACGGCCCAGACUCCUACGGGAGGGCAGCAGUGGGGAAUAUUGCACAAUGGGGCGGAAAGCCCUGAUGCAGCGACGCGCCGCUGAGGGAUGACGGGCCUUCGUGGUUGCAAACCUCUUUCAGUAGGGAAAGAAGCGUAAGUGACGGUACCUGCAGAAAAAAAGAAGCGCCGGCUAACUACGUGCCAGCAGCCGCGGUAAUACGUAGGGCGCAAGCCGUUUAUCCGGAAUUAUUGGCGUAAGAGCUCGGUAGGCGGUUUUGUCGCGUCUGCCGUGAAAGUCCGGGGCUCAACUCCGGAUCUGCGGUGGGUACGGGCAGGACCGUAGAGUGAUGUAGGGGAGAACUGGAAUUCCUGGGGGUGUAGCGGUAGUGAAUAAUGCGCAGAUAUCAGGGAGAACAACGAUGGCGAAGGCAGGUCUCUGGGCUAAUUAACUGACGCUGAGGAUGCGAAAAGCAUGGGGGAGCGAACAGGAAUUUAGAUACCCUGGUAGUCCAUGCCGUAAACGUUGGGCCACUAGGUGUAGGGGACAUUCCACGUUUUUUCCGCGCCGUCGUAGCUAACGGCAUUAAUAAUAGUGCCCCGCCCUGGGGAGUACGGCCCGCAAGGCUAAAACUCAAAGGGAAUUGACGGGGGCCCGCACAAGCGGCGGAGCAUGCGGAUUAAUUCGAUGCAACGCGAAGACCUUACCCAAGGCUUAACAUGAACCGGUGACCGCUGCAGAAAUGUGGCUUUCCCCCUUUGGGGCUGGUUUACAGGUGGUUGCAUUGGUUGUCGUUCAGCUUCGUGUCGUGAGAUGUUGGGUUUAAGUCCCGCAACGAGCGCAACCCCUCGUUCUAUGUUGCCAGCACGUGAUGGGUGGGGACUCAUAGGAGACUUGCCGGGGUCAACUAUUCGGAGGAAGGUGGGGACGACGUCAAAAAUCAUUCAUGCCCCUUAUGUCUUGGGCUUCAACGCAUGCUACAAAUGGCCGGUAACAAAGGGUUGCGAUACUGUGAGGGUGGAGCUAAUCCCAAAAAAAGCCGGUCACCUCUCAGUUCGGAUUGGGGUCUGCAACUCGGACCCCCAUGAAGGUCGGAGUCGCUAGUAAUCGCAGAUCAGCAACGCCUGCGGUUGAAUACGUUCCCGGGCCUUGUACACACCGCCCGUUCCAAGUCACGAAAGUUGGUACACUACCCGAAAGCCGGUGGGCCUAACCCCUUGUUGGGAGGGAGAGCUGUCGGAAGGUGGGACUGGCGAUUGGGACU
rnacentral:rRNA from 1 species